GAUGAACGCUAGCGGAAGGCUUAAUACAUGCAAGUCGAGCGGUAGGUGGCUUCGGCCGAUUGAGAGCGGCGCACGGGUGAGUAACGCGUACAUGACCUGCCUGUCAGAAGGGAUAGCCCUGGGAAACUGGGAUUAAUACCCUAUGGUUAUUGAUAUUAUGAAUGAUAUCAAGUUAAAGUUGAGGCGCUGACAGAUGGAUGUGCGUCUGAUUAGCUAGUUGGUAGGGUAACGGCCUACCAAGGCGACGAUCAGUAGGGGCGUGAGAGCGUGGUCCCCCACACGGGUACUGAGACACGGACCCGACUCCUACGGGAGGCAGCAGUAAGGAAUAUUGGUCAAUGCCCGCAAGGGUGAACCAGCCAUUCCGCGUGGAGGAUGAAGGCCCUAUGGGUUGUAAACUUCUUUUAGAUGGGAAGAAAAUGCUAGAUGUAUCUGGUACUGACGGUACCAUCAGAAUAAGCACCGGCUAACUCCGUG
rnacentral:rRNA from 1 species